UUGCUAAAGUUUCACAAAUUUUUUGUUUUCAUAAACAUCAACAACCAAAAAGUUCUACAGAAGUAAUUGGGUCACGUCAAAAGUUUUGUAAUCUUGUAACUGAUGAAUGUUUUUGUUGUUUCAGGUACGUCACUGUUUGUCGACCGAAAAUGGAUGAAUGAAAUUAGUAAGCGACCAGAAAAUUCGUAUGAAUGGUGGGAACAUCCUUGGUAAAUCAUAUGAGGAAACUGAAGACUGAACUGACAUGCAAUCCCGUAUUAACAAAAUUCGUAAGAAUCAAACUCUCAACAAAUAUAAUACUAGAACUGUUUUUUAAACGAAAGUUUACUUAAUAUUAUAAGUAAGCCUAAGAUUACUUCUAAGAAUUGAAUUUCACCACCGAUCAGCAAAACCUAACUCGGUGUCUUUCGAAAGAUAAACUCAACAUAAUAUUGGUGUUGCGGUGCUAUAAAAAAAUUGGUAUUGAAAUAUGAAAAUCCCUUAAUUGGCAAACACGUUUGGUGACUUAAAUUUAAUCAAUACGAGUUUUAACUAUUUACCAAUUUAGUUGAUGUACAAAAAAUUAUAAAGUCAGACAUUAUUGAACCAAGAACCGUUGCCUCCCCGGUUAGAAGGCGAUACAUACCCUUAUGUACGCCAUGUAAAUCCAACUCUCCCAACCCUUUAGUCAUUCCAGACGCAGGAAAACCCUCAACUCAUCGCGUAACGUGGUCUCUUACGUUACGAGUAAGUUAACGAGGGAAACUCUUAGCGCCCCAGCCCUUAAGGUACGGUGAAUUAAAACAAAAGAUCACGCUCGAAGCGACGCCGCGCAUUCCAUUCAUUAAACUUGAAUUCUACACACAUCCUAGGGGAGCAUUGCUGCCUGGCGUUCAUAUAAACGAGGCAGAUACUUAAACAAAUCAUUUAAAAAGCAUUGACGGUCGGUGAUGCAAAUUUUUAUGAGCGGCGGUAAUCACUUGACUUCAAGUGACCAUGCUACGUUGCUUGUGUGUGUUUUCUUUAUACAAACGUAGGUACAUAUUAUAUCAAACAAACAUAGCACUUUCUUGGUUAUCUAUAGUAUUUUUAAAUAUACAACAUUACGUUAUGUACUUGUACUUAUUAUGUCGUAGGAUAAUUAGACAAUUAUGAUGGUUAAUAAAUGUUGGAAAAUUCGCAAAUAC